UACAGAGGUCUCAAGCGUUGUUCGGAUUCAUUGGGCGUAAAGGGUGCGUAGACGGUUAUGUAAGUCGGGUGUGAAAGCCCCGGGCUCAACCUGGGAAUGCCAUUCGAGACUGCAUAGCUAGGGUGCGGAAGAGGGAAGCGGAAUUUCCGGUGUAGCGGUGAAAUGCGUAGAUAUCGGAAGGAACACCAGUGGCGAAAGCGGCUUCCUGGUCCAGCACCGACGUCAGGCACGAAAGCGUGGGGAGCAAACAGG
rnacentral:rRNA from 1 species